rnacentral:rRNA from 1 species
UACGUAGGGGGCGAGCGUUGUCCGGAUUUAUUGGGCGUAAAGAGCGUGUAGGCGGCCAGGUAGGUCUGCUGUGAAAACUCGAGGCUCAACCUCGAGACGUCGGCGGAAACCAUCUGGCUAGAGUCCGGAAGAGGAGAGUGGAAUUCCUGGUGUAGCGGUGAAAUGCGUAGAUAUCGGAAGGAACACCGGUGGCGAAAGCGGCGCGCUGGACCUCUUCUGACGCUGAGGCGCGAAAGCGUGGGGAGCGAACAGG